GAUGAAGAACGCAGCGAAAUGCGAUAAGUAAUGUGAAUUGCAGAAUUCCGUGAAUCAUCGAAUCUUUGAACGCACAUUGCGCCCCCUGGCAUUCCGGGGGCAUGCCUGUCCGAGCGUCAUUUCUGCCCUCAAGCACGGCUUGUGUGUUGGGUGUGGUCCCCCCGGGGACCUGCCUGAAAGGCAGUGGCGACGCCCGCCUAGGUCCUCGAGCGUAUGGGGCUUUGUCACUCGCUCGGGAAGGAUCUACGGGCGUUGGUCUUCCACCAUAUUUUUUUUACGGUUGACCUCGGAUCAGGUAGGAGUUACCCGCUGAACUUAAGCAUAUCAAUAAGCGGAGGA
rnacentral:misc_RNA from 1 species